AGAGUGAGGGAGGGUGUGACUAGUGACAGAGAGAGGGAGGGUGUGACUAGUGACAGUCACCCCUCCCUCACUCUGUCACUAGUCACCCCCUCCCUCACUCUGUCACUAGUCACCCCUUCCUUCCCUCACUCU